UACGUAGGGUGCGAGCGUUGUCCGGAAUUAUUGGGCGUAAAGGGCUCGUAGGCGGUUUGUCGCGUCGGGAGUGAAAACCUUGGGCUUAACUCAGGGCUUGCUUUCGAUACGGGCAGACUAGAGGUAUGCAGGGGAGAACGGAAUUCCUGGUGUAGCGGUGAAAUGCGCAGAUAUCAGGAGGAACACCGAUGGCGAAGGCAGGUCUCUGGGCCGAUACUGACGCUGAGGAGCGAAAGCGUGGGGGAGCGAACAGG
rnacentral:rRNA from 1 species